CCUACGGGAGGCAGCAGUAGGGAAUCUUUCACAAUGGGCGAAAGCCUGAUGGAGCAACGCCGCGUGCAGGAUGAAGGCCUUCGGGUUGUAAACUGCUUUUAUAAGCGAGAAAUAUGAUGGUAACUUAUGAAUAAGUAUCGGCUAACUACGUGCCAGCAGCCGCGGUCAUACGUAGGAUCCGAGCAUUAUCCGGAGUGACUGGGUGUAAAGAGUUGCGUAGGUGGCAUAAUAAGUAGCUAGUGAAAUCUGGUGGCUCAACCAUUCAGACUAUUAGCUAAACUGUUAAGCUCGAGACCGUUAGGGGUAACUGGAAUUGCUAGUGUAGGAGUGAAAUCCGUAGAUAUUAGAAGGAACACCAAUAGCGUAGGCAGGUUGCUGGGACGGUUCUGACACUAAGGCACGAAAGCGUAGGGAGCAAACGGGAUUAGAUACCCCUGUAGUC
rnacentral:rRNA from 1 species